GCCGGGCAUGGUGGUGCAUGCCUGUAAUCCCAGCAACUUGGGAGGCUGAGGCAGGAGGAUUCAAGUUCAAAGCCAGACUCAACAAUUUAACAAGGCCCUAAGCAACUUAGUGAGACCCUGUCUCAA
rnacentral:sRNA from 1 species